AGUGAACGCUGGCGGUAGGCCUAACACAUGCAAGUCGAACGGCAGCACAGGAGAGCUUGCUCUCUGGGUGGCGAGUGGCGGACGGGCGAGGAAUACAUCGGAAUCUACGCUGUCGUGGGGGAUAACGUAGGGAAACUUACGCUAAUACCGCAUACGACCUACGGGUGAAAGCAGGGGACCUUCGGGCCUUGCGCGAUUGAAUGAGCCGGUGUCGGAUUAGCUAGUUGGCGGGGUAAAGGCCAACCAAGGCGACGAUCCGUAGCUGGUCUGAGGGGAUGACCAGCAACACUGGAACUGAGACACGGUCCAGACUCCUACGGGAGGCAGCGGUGGGGAAUAUUGGACAAUGGGCGCAAGCCUGAUCCAGCCAUACCACGUGGGUGAAGAAGGCCUUCGGGUUGUAAAGCCCUUUUGUUGGGAAAGAAAUCCAGCUGGCUAAUACCCGGUUGGGAUGACGGUACCCAAAGGAUAAGCACCGGCUAACUUCGUGCCAGCCGCCGCAGUAA
rnacentral:rRNA from 1 species